UGCGCGGUGGCGCGAUGCAAAACGGCGGCGGCGGCUGGAGCUUGCAGGGGCCGGAUCCGUGCGCGGUGGGGGCUGGGGAUGUGGAUCCGAAGGCGGGCGGCGUGGGGGGGAUCGCCGGUGACAACGAGGAAGGCCGGAGCGCGGCUUCCCUUGUGGGUUCAUGGCAUCCACAGCUAUUGGGUAGAGAGGAGACAAGGAGGCGAGGGAGAGAAGAAGGGACAAAGGAAGAGCGGUGCGGUGACCUAGGCAGGAGCUCGCUGGAGCCGGGCGAUGGCGGACGGGCGCGGGAGACGGAGAGAUCCCGUGUGGCGGCGCGAAGUCCUUGCUGGUGGCGUCGACGGCUGGGCGUGCGACAUCACGGAGCCCUCCCGUUGCUACGGCGUCCGGUGGAGUGCCCUGAGGGCGCCGAUGCUGCUGCUGCACCAGCACCACCAGCCCAAGGUCAGCCUCCUCCACCUCGUUCUGUAGCGCAAUUCCCGUCUCGCACCAUGCUUCCUUACUUCUGCCCCGUUGGAUUGGAGAGCGUGUGCUCUCAGCUCUGCUGGGCCGGCUGUGCUCUGUUGCGUGCGAGCAAGGGAGAAGAGCGAGCUUGCUGAUUCUUCUUACCUGCAGCUCCAACACAAAAGCCAGCCAAUCGACUCUUGAUAGCAGAACACAAACAAUACAAGUAAACAGAAUUCUAAGACAGCCAAGGUGGAUAUGAUAGCAGCGGAAGUAAUUGCUAAUUUAAGUGUAAGAACAUUGUGUGUUAUUCUAUCUUGGUCUUGCUUUUCUUCUUGGAUAACUUCUCUAAUCUCCCAAUAGAUUUCUUGGGUUGGCGUGGUUGUUAGUAUUAGUUAAUACAAACCCUGGCUAUAUAUGAAUUUUGUUACUUGAAAUGUUCAAUACAAGUGUUGAUUUGAAAAAAUAAAAUUGUGUGUAAGUAAUCAUGUGACCAUAUUGGAUGAAGGUGACCCAUAAAUUCAUUCAGUUAAUUGAAUUCUUUUUGCCUUCUACUCAAGAUAGGUACCUAGGCUCUAAUAAUUUCAGUGGCAACUACAUCCGAACUUUGUCACAUCUUUCUACUUAAAAAUUGUGAUUAUAUCAUUUGUCAUCUGAAAACCAGACUCAUGUGUACAUUAUGGGACAUAAUGUCCAGGAAAUAAUCACCAGGUACAGACAUCACUCUUGACCUACAUUGUACAACAUUGCAUAAUUUUCUGUUUUUCUUGAGGUAUCGCUCAGUAUUUUUUAUCGCAAACAUAGAUAGAACAAAGGCCACAAGAGUUGAUUUGGUACACCUUGCUGCAUGCGCUCUCACUUGAUUAAGAUAUUCAAAGUGUGAGCUUUGGAAAUUUCCAAAAAUAAGUCAGAUUCUCAUUAUUAACCUAUGUGCACAUGCCAAUAUUUCUGACUCUGACAUAUUGUGUUUGAUAAUAAUUUGAUGAACCACCAUGUCGCCCUUCCGCCUGGUUCCAUGGGAAAGUAAUUUACAAAGCUCUAGUUGGUCAAUACAGCCUACAUGUUUUUUUUGAAUAGGCAGCCUACAGGUUGACUUUUUUUUUUAGUUCCAUGUUUUCUAGCAUUGCUUAACUUUAUUUGAAAAAGUGUUGUAGUUAUGUAUGCAGGAUACAGUACUAGAGGUGUAUGCAGGAUAUAGUACUGGAGUUGGAGUUUCAGGGCAUCCAAAAAGAAUUUACUAUGCUUCAACCCAUGUUUUCUACCAUUGUUUACCUUUAAUUGAAAAAAAUUAUUGUUGUUAUGUAUGCAGGAUAAAGAGUACUAGAGUUGGAAUUUCAGGGCAUCCACAAAGAAUUUACUAUGCUUCAGGCAAGAAAAGUUAAUUUGUUUGACCUUUGUAAGGACUACAUUACUAGCUUAAUGCAUGGAACUUAUUGAGCUGCAGACAUGGCAUGUGCGCACAUAGAGACCUGCUGCAUCAAAGCUCGGUGCGGAUACACCUCUUCUUAUAGGAGAGGUUGUGUACAACUUAUGUUGAGCUUAAAUUUCCAUAAUAAAACGUGUGUUUUUAUUUAUCAUGGUUUCUCCUCCUACAAAACCAAACAUUUUCAGAUGUUGUUUUUUCAUUUCCUUCCGACGCUAUUAAAUCUCAUUCUUACCUAUGUUGAAAUGGUUCCAGUGUGUGUGUGAUGCAUUGCUUUCCUUAGUUUUCGGAGGAACAUGGUGCUAUUCCUGGUGUUUUUGGUUAUGGAAAAGCUGGCGUUAGUCAGGAACUUUCUAAGGUGAUCACCUUAUUGCUCCGUUCUCAUCAUACCGUCUCUACACUAUCUACUGAGUUUAAAAAUCCAUGUUGUACUCUAAUUCUGAAGCUUUGGUUUAUGUUGGAUGUGGCUGAAAGAGGAAAUAAGAUAGCCAACGUUUAAUGGAUUUCCCCCAAUCGACAAUGACAUUUCCUCACAUGAUGUGAAGAGUGGAGCCGCUUAAAGUAAAUGGCGAGCUCACCAUGGUCGUACUACAGAUUGGGAGCCGCCGACCAUGACCCGAUGACCCGAUGACCCACUGGUGAGGCAUUCAAGGGACAAACAGGAGCUCACGAUUUUUAGGGAUGAGGAGGAGCUUGCAAUUUCCAGGCUCGGCCUGCCCGACCUGCCGCCGCAUGUGGAACACUAGGAGUCUGGUGUUUUCUCUGCAGUGAAGCACAAAUGUUCCCGGGUGCAACUCACGGGCUCUUUUGCUUUUACACACUUCAUUUUGUAAUUUUAGUGUUUGACUAAUAGUACAUCUGUUGGAACAAGUGCAAAGGCAACAUCAUCUUCCAGCAAAAAAAAUUCCCCUGCGUUGAGCACUUCAGAGAUGCACUAGGAGAGAGCAGGUUCUGGUGGACAAAGAGGUGAUAAGCGAUGAACUCUUCCAGUAUAAAAGUUGAUGGUCCUAAUUCCUUUAUAGUUUAUUUCUUGAUAACUUUAGGUUACAAAACAUCUCUGUGACUUUUCGUGUUUUGUGAUAAUAUAUUUGAUUAUAGUCA